UAUGGAUUCAAAGCGAACGCUUGUCUCCUUACUCAUAUUCCUCUUCUUCCUCUUUUUCUUCUUCCUCAUCAUCAUCAAAGAGGAGGCUGGAGUGCGGGUCAAGAUGGUCCCCGAGAAAGACGACACCGCCAUUGGCGGAUGGAAGGCCGUCUCAGUCUUCACCCCCAACUACUUCCACGAUGCAGACGACACGCCCCGUUAACCAGUGCCACCGCCGCGAAAGCAAGAGAUGGUGUCCCAUUAUUCAAAAUCUCCACCGCGGGUGACUGUUCAAGAACUGAAUCCCCCGGACAAGCUCGACAUGAACUGUUAGAUUUGAAUUGGUUGUUUUUUCAAUUGGGUGUUUUUGUUCAAGUUCAUGACUCUGCUCAUGUUGUUGUCGUUCAUCAUGAUGCUCGACUGGUUUUGGGAAACAAGGCAGCUGGGCCCCCAUAAAAAGAGAUGUUAGAAAUAUAAAACAUGUAUGUGGAAUAGUGGUAUAUUUUCUAUCAAUAUUGGAAUAUGUGAUAUUACUCUCUUUUA